UACAGAGGUCUCAAGCGUUGUUCGGAUUCAUUGGGCGUAAAGGGUGCGUAGGCGGCGCGGUAAGUCGGGUGUGAAAUCUCGGAGCUUAACUUCGAAAACUGCAUUCGAUACUGCCGUGCUUGAGGACUGGAGAGGAGACUGGAAUUUACGGUGUAGCGGUGAAAUGCGUAGAUAUCGUAAGGAAGACCAGUGGCGAAGGCGGGUCUCUGGACAGUUCCUGACGCUGAGGAGCGAAAGCGUGGGGAGCGAACAGG
rnacentral:rRNA from 1 species